GAAGAUCCUGCUCUUUGGCACAUCCUCCGGGGUGGUGAAGUCGAAGUCAAACACUGCGAAUCGGCAGUCGUUUUCAGGGAGGGUCUUGGUGAAAUCCUCAUAGGUGGCAUCGCGCUGCCCGGUUUGGUCCACAAUGACCUCCUUCUGGUUCUCCAGCCUGUAGGUUAUGAAGCGGUGCAUCCUCUUGGACUUGAGCUCCACGAACCUCAGCUUGCAGUCGUCAUGGAUCCCAGCACCUGAUGAAGCGUUUGCCUGGGUACACGAAGAAAGUUAGGAUGGAUAUAACAGUUACACAGAUAAUGCAACCUCAAUUCUGCUUGAACAACAACAUCAUAGACUCAAGUAAACAGACAACUCAAGGAACGCCUUUGCAGUUAGUGCUGUAUUGGUAGAUAAUAAUGGAAGAGAGUGCUACCCCAUAGGACAUGGGUGCUCGAGCGAAAAUGUACACAAUGUCAUGAACUGGGGAGGAAAUGGCAAAAGGCUCAAGAUGUCACGGUCCUACAAACGUUGAAAUCAGGAGCUACAUAUCCUAAAUUUUGUUAAUCUUGUGUACGGCAGACAAUUUUCAGUUGCAACCACCUAAAUCAGGCUUAUCCAUCAACUUAAAACACACACCACCAGAUCUCUAUCCCUGUCAAUCAACCAAGGAGUGUCAAGCAAGCAUGGAUUAGUAGCGAUCUCUUGGGAGACAAAAACUGGCGCUCAAUAGGUUGUAAAUCAUCACAAGUACUUACGGCAGUGCUGCCGACAGAUGCGCGGCAUAGUCAACAAGUGCUGGAAGCUAACGAGCAGCUGAGAUUCCAUGGGCGAUCCGAUGGUGUACAGCCUGGAUCUACCGAUUACAAGGUCCUAAAACCAGGGAUCCGAGCCGAAUCUCGUGGUACCGACCGAAACGCGCGUUCCGCCCGAGAGAUUCGCGAGGAGGGCAGCCGACGGGUGUCCCGCGAUCCGACCGCUGGCGACGCAGGAAAAGAGGUGGAGCAAGGGACGGCCUCGGUUUCCUCCGAUCCGGGGAUCCGGGCCAGUACUUGUCUACCAGCGGCGAGAUCGAGGGCCCGUCCACCAGCCGUGCAGGAGGAAAAUUGAACUACGGGGAGGGAGAGAGAGAGAGAGAGAGAGAGAGAGCGAGCGCCGAUCUGCGGGACAAGGGGGCGAGAUCGGCGCGCG
rnacentral:lncRNA from 1 species